CCUACGGGAGGCAGCAGUGAGGAAUAUUGGUCAAUGGGCGAGAGCCUGAACCAGCCAAGUCGCGUGAGGGAGUACUGCCCUAUGGGUCGUAAACCUCUUUUGUCGGGGAGCAAAAGCCGGACGUGUCCGGCUGUGAGAGUUCCCGGAGAAAAAGCAUCGGCUAACCCCGUGCCAGCCGCCGCGGUAAUACGGAGGAUGCGAGCGUUAUCCGGAUUUUUUGGGGUUAAAGGGUGCGCAGGCGGACUUUUAAGUCAGCGGUAAAAACGUGGGGCUCAACCCCAGCCAGCCGUUGAAACUGGGGAGCUGGAGUUUGCGAGAGGUAUGCGGAAUGCGUGGUGUAGCGGUGAAAUGCUUAGAUAUCGCGAAGAACCCCGAUUGCGAAGGCAGCGUACUAGA
rnacentral:rRNA from 1 species